UAUUAGGUUGGUGCAAAAGUAAUUGCGGUUUUUGCCAUCACUUGCAAUGGCAAAAACCACAAUUACUUUUGCACCAACCUAAUA
ensembl:miRNA